UGAUACUGAUAAGGGAAAUUAAGAAGUAAAACAAAAUUAACCAACAAUACAAAACAGUGUAUAUUAUUUUUAGGUGUGUGAGGUAUUGUUGUGCAAAAUAGUGGGUAUCUGGGCAAAUACAAGACAAAAAAAACAAAUUUCCUUUAGUAAAAUGGGGCCGAAGUUUGGAGUGUAAACCAAGGAGACAAAACGAGUUUAUGAGUCAAUACUCAAAUACAAAAAUCGUAGAUAUAUAUUGUAUCUUCCAACAUCCAUAGUCAGUUAGAUACAAAACGGUUACCUACUUAUUUCAAAUACAUUAUUAUACAUACAUCCAUAAAACGUACCUAAUAAUAAAACGUACAAGAUGGCCAAGAAAUCCCCUUUUCCUUCCUACUCAAUGUCAAAGUACACUGACCUUAAAAGGACAUUAUCUAGGACGUAUCAUCAUUCAUAAUCAUCUUUCACAAGGGUAAAUAAUUAUGUCUUACCUGAGAUGUAAAUUUUGGAUCUAUAUUGGAGAGUCCAAUCACACGGGAUCUACUGCUAUCCGAAUACUUUCGAAGGCUGGAUCCUGUGAGAGGAGUGGAGGUUGUUAGUUCACUCGAGGACAUCCUCGUAGUUGAAUUCCUGGAAAAUAAAUAUGGAAAUAUUAACGUUGUGGAUAUAACUUUGCAUAUGAAUAUAGUAUUAAUAUAUUGGGAGACUGAAGAAUUUAAAAAAAUGGCAAAUAACCUAAGAUUUGUCGUCUUAUCCUGUCGACAACUCUGUGUCCGUCGACGGAAACGGAAUGAUUUAUUCAGAUUCUGAAUAAUAGAGUUCAUAGUAAGAGUACGUUUUAAUCCAAAGGUUUUGAAUAAGCUCGAUGAAGAUGCACGAGUCUUCCCUGAGGGUAUCGUGGAUUCCUGCUAUGUGCAUAAAUUCAUAAAACAACAAUCACAACACAUUCAUACUCAUAACUUAUGGGAAUAUGCAUCACUAGACAAUGACUAAAUAAAUUGUAGAUAAUUAAUUCAUCCCCCAAAAACAAAAAAAACUAUGAUUAUGGAUAUAUUGUGAUUCAAAUGAUAUAAUCCUUUCCAUAGUGACCGAUGAUGGGCAGUUGACGUCAUCCUCGUCGUCCUGAAGUAAAUCCUCAGCACUACGAAGUCCCGACUCCCGCCUCUCAUCCUUUCCAAGACCAAUAGCCUCAUCGUCCUUCCGACUCACUUCACGAGAACUAUAACUCCUCCGAAUAAGCGCAUUCGAAGAGGCUGCAUCAAAAGCCCUCUUUCGACGACGAAUAAAAGUGGUGGUUGGGCGUCUCACCACAAAAGGUGAGACUUCGGCCUCGGUUAAAAUUAUCCUUCGAGUAAAAAUAUCCUCACUAAUCUCACUCAUGCUGAAGGUUGUUCACUUUAACAAGGGGGGCUACAGAUCAUGGUGGCUCGAAAGGGAAGGGCUUCUCAUAAAUGAGAUGAUAAAAAACGCGGGAUGGUUUUUUUAUCUUUUUUCUUGAAUGAUGAGAGGAUUUCCUUAGGUUACUGAGUAGCCACGCAAAGAUCCACCAUCCUUCUGCAAUAUUUUCGUUAAACUGGUGUGUAGAACGGUUCUUCCUUUUCUUAGCAUUCCACCGGCGUGUACAAGGGGCGUAGAAUGAAUCGUGAACACUCUUAGGAUUAUAUGCGUUUUCUUGUAUUUAUACUAGUAACUUGUAUUAUAUAUAAUAAUAAUUUAUUAGUAGUACAAGCAAUAAUAUAUCUAGACUACGACUUUAACAGCAAAUAAACACACUGCUGCCCUGAAAAAAAAAUCAUUUAAAAAGACGAUAUCAAAUAAUAUAAACAUUCAUUUUUCAUAAUAAUAUGUAAAUGCAAGAACAUUUCACAAAUUAA
rnacentral:lncRNA from 1 species